ensembl:lncRNA
GGGGGCGUGGCUCGGGCUCAAGGAGGCAUUCCCGGGCGCUCAGGUGAGCGCUCUCUGGAUCUGACAGUCCUUGGGGAGCCGAUGCCGGUGACCGGGCCGCGGGCAGACACGCAGGCGCCCGGAAGACACAGCAGGGCUGCAGCUGCCCAGCCCUCCCAGCCAUGUGGCGCCCGCUGGUCCUGCCGCCCCUGCUGCUGCUGCUCCCCUGCGCACCCGCCCCCACUGCCAGUCUCAUCCAGGCCGCCAAACCCCAGGACGGCCUGCAGAGCCUACUCCCAGGUUGCAAUCGCCUCUUGUUGGGGUUUGGGGAGAGGAGGAGGAGAGAGAGGAGGGGCGGGGGCAGACAGCAAGAGAGGAAGUCAGAGAGACAGACAGGGAUAUAGGGAGGGGCCCGAGGAACCCAGACAGAGGUACAGCAGGACAGACGAGGGGCAGGAAUAAGGAGAUGGUGGAUGGAAUAGGGACAGGGCAGAGGGAUAGGGACCCAGAUAAGAACAGGGGACAAGAUUGGGGGGUGGACUGGCUCGGUCCUGAGGGUCAGAGCAUCGUGGAAGAGGGUGGAGAGGAAAGGGGGUGGGAGGGACAUGGGGCCCGGCCCGAAGAGGCAUCCAACACUCAGACCACUUUCUGCGAGCCCUCGUGGCACCUGCUGUGGGACAGGGACAGCUGCCUCUCUGCCCCGUGGACCUCAGUGCCUCCCCAGGACUGCCACUGCGCAGAGGACCAGGAGUGCUGGCUGGAGAACAGCACCCCUUCUAGCCAGCACCAGGAAGCCCGUCGCGGAGCCCAACUUGUUCCUCUUCACCAGGUGCCCAAGCUGGAGGAGACGCAGAGCUGGUGGCACUGGCAAAUCCGGCCUCUCACUCUGGCGGUCCUCCCAGGUCGUGAGGUGACUGCCCUGGCGGUGCAGCCAGCAGCCUGGGAGGCAGGCCUGCAGCUCCUUCAGAAGCAUCCAUGGCCACCAGCCUUCUGCGACAGUCUCCUUAAGGGGGCCCUCCUGGCACGGGGACCUGAGGCCUCCCCCGCCCCAAAGGGCCCGCCCCAAGACCCACUUGUUGUCCCUUUCCAGGCUCAGCAGCCGCAGGGGCUGGGGGUGGACAUCAGAGCCCUGGCAGGGGACAGACGUGCACCCUCCCCAGACCCCACCCCAGCGCCACUGAGAAAUCAAGUUCUUUCUCUCAGCCAUCUGUGCUGCUUCCUCUCGGGACCUGUCCCCAGCACCCGGCCGACUGAAACGAUUUCUUUGCUUUUACAAGCUCCUGAGGCAGGAACCGGUCCUGCUUCCUGCUGUGUUGCCUGAUGCUUACCAGAGAGCGUGGCUCACGCUUAGUUCUCAAAAACAGCUCGUUGUCGAGAAUUGAGUUGAGUUGAGUCCACGGCUGACUGGAGGGACGCCCUCUCUGACGCCCCAGCGCCAGGCUUCCGCGUCAGUAUUUCCUAAAACGGUGAUCACGUGAGACUGUUUAAAGAUGCUACAGUCCUGUCAUCCUAAUGCUGAAAAUUGAAGAUAGCACACACAUGGAUGGGUGAGUGAAAAUAAGUGGGUCAUUCACAAAGGAGGACACUCACCUCUAUUCGGAGGCAAAGAAGCACUAUUUGUUAUUUUGAGGCUAAAGCGAUGACAUGUUCCCCUUGGGCUCUGUCCUGAGUUCUGGGGUCCAUUGGACACCAGGCCGUGGGUAUGUCUGGGUCCUGUGGCAGCACAGCCAUGCCAGCUCUGCUCCAGCCUGUGAGGGUCCUGGCCAUUAUUGCCUGGAUAGGUCCCCACUUGAUCCAAGCUGAGCAGGUGGCCCAGGGUGACAUCUGCCUUCAGCUGGCUGGGUGGUGGAGCAAGGUGGAUGUGAAGGCAUCAGAAAAAGUGGCAGGGGGUUGAGCUGGAGGCCAGAGAGGGCAGGACCGUGCAGAGCAGGGCUGGCAUAAGAAGGUGACAUGGGUGGGUGUGACUGUUGACGAUGAGCUGGGCUCAGGCAAGCGUGGGGGUGGGGCCUGGGGUAAGCGUGCCUCACGGAGAUGUCAGGCCCAGGAAAUGGGGCCCCGAUAGGGCAGCAGAGCCUGUAGGAGGGGUGAUGGUUGUCCUGCCUCUGGCUUCAAGCUGCAGAGUCACUCAGGUUGUUUCCAGGACCCCAGGCUGAUGGAACCAUCCAAUCAAAUGGCAGCUACUUCUGCCAACAGGUGAACCCCUCCAGUAUCAGCAGGGCCUGGUCUGGGGACCCUCUAUAGCCUUGGGGCACAUGCCCCAGACCUCCAAAUAAUCGGGUCCAGCUCUUGGUCCAUUCUCUGUGCCAGGGCUUGGCUCAUGCUGCUCCAUGGCCUGCCCUGCUCAUCUCUGUCCUCUCCUCAGUCCAUCAGGAAUGGAGAAAAGUGAGACAUCAUUACAGAGCCUAUAAGAAGCUGUUCCAAACAUUCUAUACCAAUACAUUUGAAAAUCGGGAUAAAAUGGGCAACUUUCUAGAAAACACUCACUGAAACCGAGACAAGAAAUUGAAUCUGUAGUUUAAAAUCUUCCCACCAACAAAUCUACAGGCUCAGAUGACCUCAUUAGUAAAUCUAGGAAAAUAUUAACGGCAAUCUUACAUAAACUCCAGAGAAUGGAAAACUUGUGUUAGGAAACCAGAAUAGGCUUGUUGCAAAACCCAAAAAGUAAAUUUUGAGACAGGAAAAGUUUCGGUCCAGUAUCUUUCAUAAACGUAGGUGCCAAGAUCUUAAGAUGUUAGCAAAAUGAAUCACCACGAGAAGGCAGGGAAUUGUGGGAAUGAUGACUGACUUAGGUAGAAACGCUCAGCCAUAGGUUGCCGGCCACACAGCUUUUCUGGUGAGCCACACAAUAGGAUCCUGUAACUGAAGACAGAAAUAAGAUUUCACGUGUGUGGAACUUCAGUGCUGGACUAGUUUUCUUCAGGGGAAAAUGAGACUCAGAUGAAAUGUUAAUUUUGCAGAGAGUAAGGAAGAAACCUAUCCUGGACAGAUGUUCCUUUCUUCUAGUCUGGUUUUGAUCUGCUGCAAGACUCUGAUUUGCUGACAAAGGCAUCUCAAAAGGUUCAUUCACGGUGGAGCCACCACUCCUGAGGACCUCACCCAGAAUGGAGCUCGCCUGGGGGAAAAAUCCACAAGCCACCCCUACAGAGGCCAGAGCACGGGGGCCUGUGUCCAGAGGGAGAAGCAGGUCGCUAGUGUCAGAUGCUAAUGGAUGACUGACUUACAAUCCUUUCUGCCCAGAUGACGGGUUCUAGCCUUUAUGGUUGCAAAGAAACCUGCGUAGGCUCUUACUGCCGUGUGUGCAUGCUCAAGAGGAAGGGGGAGCAGGUUUGGGGUUCACUCAGGAGGAGGGAAACUGCUUUCCGUAAGGACGAGUGUGGUCCCCGAAGGUGGUAAAGCCAGCAGGGCACUGGGGCAGUGGUGUGACGGUGAGCACCAACAACCGGCUCUCUGAGUGAACACAAAGCCCUCAAUGAUAGCAUUUGCCAGUUUCUAUGGUGUCAAUAAGCCUGCUCUGGUCCAUCUAAAGCUACCAAUGUGAUGUGAACCGGCUCACAAAAUCCUUGAAAAGUCAAGAACUGGCUCUCAGGAGCCAGUAGGAGCCACACCUCCAGCCCUCCAUCUUCACAGACGGUGCCGUCUUCUGCUUCUCAUCUCCUCAGACCGUUUGGAACCGACAUCAUCCAGGCCUUCCUGCAAAGACCUGGGGCAGGCGGGAAAGGACGCUGCAGCCACGGCCAGUGGGUGGAAGGGCUGUUCUGGUGAGAAAAAGCUGACAGGCCUGACGUCUGAAGUUCUGCAGAAGGCAGAUAAAGGACAGAAUCAUAAUUUCACAAUCAUCUGCCUUGAGUCUUAGAAGGCACACUUUAGAGCAGUAAUCGCGAGAGAUCCUGAUGCAGGUCAUUGUGGGUCAAGGCUUCUGUGGAAGGAAAUUGGCGCAGCUGGUCUGGUCUCCUGAAGCUUCUCAUAGAUUUCAGAAAAGGGUCCCCGGGGGUCUGGUCUCCCCUUGAGCAAGUCACUUGGAAUGGAGGGGACUCAUCGCUCUUCAGACCCACUGGAAGGCGGGGGGUUCCCUCUUCCCCAUACUCCUUCGAGGCCACCCUCUGUGGGGCUGAGGUCACCGUAACAGAACAGAGCUCUUCAGAUCUCUUCCACUCCUCAGAAAAGACCACUCCCCGUGGCCCUGACCCCACUGGUGCACACAGUCAAUGCCUUUUAGGUCACUGGCAUGCAGCUCUUCAACGGAGUUGUGGCAACAUCUCUCUGUGGUUUUUUUCACUAAAGUGUUACUGUUUGCUAUACAUCAGUUUCCGUUGACCAUAUUUGGGAUGCAUGAUGCCCAGUUACCUGAAAAUGAGGUGCCAGGGAUCCGAUUAUUUACAAAAGUGGCCUUCCCCACUGGGAAAUAAAUUGGGAUCUGGAAAAAUCUUAGGCCGUGGGCAACACUUGUCUCCCACACCUCACGUUUCCCGGAAAGGGAUUUUGAUAACUUCCAGGAAGUAUGGACUGCCUUCCCACGCCCUCCGCCCUUUGCUCACCUGGCCACACAGUGCUGCUGAGCUCACAGAAGGCACUGAGUACUCCAGGCAGACCCCACCCAGUCUCCCCGAGGGGCAGCCGGUCCUCAGGUCCUUCUCCCUUCCCUCACAGAAGACCCCUGGCUGGCAGGCACACGUGGGCAGCCCAUGUGGUCCCAGCUCCAGGUGGUGCCUCCCAUUCAGUAUUCGUCGUAAUGAAGCUGGUAUUGUCACUUCCACAUGUCUGACUCCUGUGUGUGUGUCUCUGGAUCGCAAACUCAGCACGGGAAGAGAAAGGUGUUGACUGCCUUCCACGGGCCCCCAGAUGUGCGUUGUUAUGGACACUGGCUGCAUACGUGAGUGUCUGCGUCAGCUUCAACAUCUUUGCUCUGCUCCAUCCUCCG